AGUGAACGCUGGCGGUAGGCCUAACACAUGCAAGUCGAACGGCAGCACAGUAAGAGCUUGCUCUUACGGGUGGCGAGUGGCGGACGGGUGAGGAAUACAUCGGAAUCUACUUUUUCGUGGGGGAUAACGUAGGGAAACUUACGCUAAUACCGCAUACGACCUACGGGUGAAAGCAGGGGAUCUUCGGACCUUGCGCGAUUGAAUGAGCCGAUGUCGGAUUAGCUAGUUGGCGGGGUAAAGGCCCACCAAGGCGACGAUCCGUAGCUGGUCUGAGAGGAUGAUCAGCCACACUGGAUCUGAGGCACGGUCCCGACUCCUACGGGAGGCAGCAGUGGGGAAUAUUGGACAAUGGGCGCAAGCCUGAUCCAGCCAUACCGCGUGGGUGAAGAAGGCCUUCUGGUUGUAAAGCCCUUUUGUUGGGAAAGAAAAGCAGCAGGUUAAUACCCCGCUGUUCUGACGGUACCCAAAGAAUAAGCACCGGCUAACUUCGUG
rnacentral:rRNA from 1 species